GUGCCAGCAGCCGCGGUAAGACGUAGGGCGCGAGCGUUGUCCGGAUUUAUUGGGCGUAAAGAGCUCGUAGGCGGCUUGUCGCGUCGAAUGUGAAAUCUCGGGGCUCAACUCCGAGCUUGCAUUCGAUACGGGCAGGCUAGAGUUCGGUAGGGGAGACUGGAAUUCCUGGUGUAGCGGUGAAAUGCGCAGAUAUCAGGAGGAACACCGGUGGCGAAGGCGGGUCUCUGGGCCGAUACUGACGCUGAGGAGCGAAAGCGUGGGGAGCGAACAGGAUUAGAAACCCGUGUAGUCC
rnacentral:rRNA from 1 species